rnacentral:misc_RNA from 1 species
GAUGAAGAACGUAGCGAAAUACGAUACGUAAUGUGAAUUGCAGAAUUCAGUGAAUCAUCGAAUCUUUGAACGCAUAUUGCGCUCUCUGGUAUUCCGGAGAGCAUGCUUGUUUGAGUAUCAGUAAACACCUCAACUCCCUUUUCUUUUUUGAAAUUGGAGCUGGACUUGAGUGAUCCCAACGCUUUCUUCCAAGAAAGUGGCGGGUUGCUUGAAAUGCAGGUGCAGCUGAACUUUUCUCUGAGCUAUAAGCAUAUCUAUUUAGUCUGCCUAAAAAACAGAUUAUUACCUUUGCUGCAGCUAACAUAAAGGAGACAAGUUCUUGUGCUGACUGAUGCAGGAUUCACAGAGACAGCUUCGGCUGACUUUGUAAACUCGAUCUCAAAUCAAGUAAGACUACCCGCUGAACUUAAGCAUAUCAAUAAGCGGAGGA